ACAGCAGCUCUGGAGACCAAAGGCCACAGAACAAGGUGCAGGAUGGGUAGUGGCAGUGCAAGCUCCCCCCACAUUGAACCCCCAAUCCUCUUCAACUCUGACCAGUUCUAGGGGUGAGUGGCUCGAUCGGUAUUCCUGGCCAGUUUCAUUCUCGGCCUCU
ensembl:misc_RNA